UACGUAGGGUGCAAGCGUUGUCCGGAAUUAUUGGGCGUAAAGAGCUCGUAGGCGGUUUGUCGCGUCUGCUGUGAAAACUCGGGGCUUAACUCCGGGCCUGCAGUGGGUACGGGCAGACUAGAGUGCGGUAGGGGAGACUGGAAUUCCUGGUGUAGCGGUGAAAUGCGCAGAUAUCAGGAGGAACACCGGUGGCGAGGGCGGCUUACUGGGUCUUUUCUGACGCUGAGGCACGAAAGCCAGGGGAGCGAACGGG
rnacentral:rRNA from 1 species